GGUAAUAGCUCAGUGGUAGAGCGCCUGCUUAGAGAGAAUGAGGUCCUGGGUUCAAUCCCCAGUACUGCCA
rnacentral:tRNA from 1 species